rnacentral:rRNA from 1 species
UACAGAGGUCUCAAGCGUUGUUCGGAUUCAUUGGGCGUAAAGGGUGCGUAGGCGGCGCGGUAAGUCGGGUGUGAAAUCUCGGGGCUUAACUCCGAAACUGCAUUCGAUACUGCCGUGCUUGAGGACUGGAGAGGAGACUGGAAUUUACGGUGUAGCGGUGAAAUGCGUAGAUAUCGUAAGGAACACCAGUGGCGAAGGCGAAUCCCUGGAAAAUACCUGACACUGAGGCACGAAAGCUAGGGGAGCAAACAGG